GUGUCAGCAGCCGCGGUAACACGUAGGGACCAAGCGUUGUCCGGAUUCAUUGGGCGUAAAGAGCUCGUAGGCGGCUCAGUAAGUCGGGUGUGAAACCUCCAGGCUCAACCUGGAGACGCCACCCGAUACUGCUGUGGCUAGAGUCCAGUAGGGGAGCGUGGAAUUCCUGGUGUAGCGGUGAAAUGCGCAGAUAUCAGGAGGAACACCAGCGGCGAAGGCGGCGCUCUGGGCUGGAACUGACGCUGAGGAGCGAAAGCGUGGGGAGCGAACAGGAUUAGAAACCCUUGUAGUCC
rnacentral:rRNA from 1 species